rnacentral:rRNA from 1 species
GACGAACGCUGGCGGCGUGCUUAACAGAUGCAAGUCGAACGGAAAGGCCCUGCUUUUGUGGGGUGCUCGAGUGGCGAACGGGUGAGUAACACGUGAGUAACCUGCCCUUGACUUUGGGAUAACUUCAGGAAACUGGGGCUAAUACCGGAUAGGAGCUCCUGCUUCAUGGUGGGGGUUGGAAAGUUUCGGCGGUUGGGGAUGGACUCGCGGCUUAUCAGCUUGUUGGUGGGGUAGUGGCUUACCAAGGCUUUGACGGGUAGCCGGCCUGAGAGGGUGACCGGCCACAUUGGGACUGAGAUACGGCCCAGACUCCUACGGGAGGCAGCAGUGGGGAAUAUUGCACAAUGGGCGGAAGCCUGAUGCAGCAACGCCGCGUGCGGGAUGACGGCCUUCGGGUUGUAAACCGCUUUCGCCUGUGACGAAGCGUGAGUGACGGUAAUGGGUAAAGAAGCACCGGCUAACUACGUG